CUACGGGUUGCUCAGUGGGGAAUAUUGGGCAAUGGGCGAAAGCCUGACCCAGCAACGCCGCGUGAAGGAAGAAGGCUUUCGGGUCGUAAACUUCUAUCCCAGAUGAAGAUAAUGACGGUAAUCUGGAAGGAAGCCCCGGCUAACUACGUGCCAGCAGCCGCGGUAAUACGUAGGGGGCAAGCGUUGUCCGGAAUGAUUGGGCGUAAAGGGCGCGUAGGCGGCCUUUUAAGUCCGAUGUGAAAGUCCUGCUUUUAAGGUGGGAAUUGCAUUGGAAACUGGAAGGCUUGAGUGCAGGAGAGGUAAGUGGAAUUCCCGGUGUAGCGGUGAAAUGCGUAGAGAUCGGGAGGAACACCAGUGGCGAAGGCGACUUACUGGACUGUAACUGACGCUGAGGCGCGAAAGUGUGGGGAGCAAACAGGAUUAGAUACCCGGGUAGUC
rnacentral:rRNA from 1 species